rnacentral:rRNA from 1 species
GACGAACGCUGGCGGCGUGCCUAAUACAUGCAAGUAGAACGCACAGUUUAUACCGUAGCUUGCUACACCAUAAACUGUGAGUUGCGAACGGGUGAGUAACGCGUAGGUAACCUGCCUGGUAGCGGGGGAUAACUAUUGGAAACGAUAGCUAAUACCGCAUAAUAUUGAUUAUUGCAUGAUAAUUGAUUGAAAGAUGCUAUUGCAUCACUACCAGAUGGACCUGCGUUGUAUUAGCUAGUAGGUGAGGUAACGGCUCACCUAGGCGACGAUACAUAGCCGACCUGAGAGGGUGAUCGGCCACACUGGGACUGAGACACGGCCCAGACUCCUACGGGAGGCAGCAGUAGGGAAUCUUCGGCAAUGGACGAAAGUCUGACCGAGCAACGCCGCGGGAGGGAAGAAGGGUUUCGGAUCGUAAAGCUCUGUUGUAAGAGAAGAACGGGUGUGAGAGUGGAAAGUUCACACUGUGACGGUAUCUUACCAGAAAGGGACGGCUAACUACGUG